rnacentral:lncRNA from 10 species
CUACUCACAAGAAUAUGGAUGAAUCUACAAGCAUAAUGUUGAGUGAAGGAAGCUGGAUAUGAAAGGGGAAGUUGUAAAAUGGCAUUUAUUUAAAGUUGAAAGUUUGGGGAAACGACUUUAUGUGAUUAGACGUUGGGAUAGUGCUUGCCCCUGAGGGGUGCGGCUGGAUGGAGGCAUGAGAGGCCUGGAGAGCAUGGUCUAAUAAACAGAGAAGGCUCAGGAGGGUCAGAAACACGGUGCCUCAUUUCUCAGCCUACUUGCCAAGAAUUCCCAAAAAGGAAGCACUGGAGGAUCAUUCCAAGGCUUGAGGUCCAGGACUACCCACUUCCCUUGGAAUGGUGUUGCCAUCACUGUUCUGGCACCGGAGGUAAGGAUUCUACAUCGUUAGGAGAAAAGAAAAAGGAGAAUUUGGGCUUGCACUGAGAGGAUUACCUUUGGUGGUCUGGAAGUGGUGGGGUUGCAGCAUUGAAGGCACCAUCUUGGAAGCAGAGACUAGACCCUCACCAAGCAAUUAACAUGCUGGUGCAUUGAUCUUGGACUUUCCAGCCUCCAGAACUGUGAGAAAUAAAUUUCUGUUCUUAAUUAAUUACCCAGUCCCAGGUAUUCUGUUAUAGCAGCACAAAGCUUAGACGGGCUCCUUACAUCUUGAGGCUCCAUUAUCUCCUGGGAACUGGGAGUCCUUAGGUUCUAGCCAUGGAAAGAGAAACAAAAGAUGGAGAAGGCACACAUGCUUCUUAAUGGUCGUGGUUCAGAAGUAACAAAUACUAAUUCUAUAUAUUCUACUGGCUCAACACAAAUGCAGGGGUGUGCUGGGAAUGGAGUCUCUGAUUGGGCAGCAGGGAUCAGGGAUCAAAGAUCAGGAAAUAUUCCAGGGUGAAUAUUUUACUAGGUGAGGAGGACCAUGAAUUUUGACAAACAGCCUUUGCUGCUCUACCCACUCCUCAUCAUCACUGUUAGACACAAAGAGAAAUGGCAGCACUUUUUGUCCAUUGAUUGUAACUCUUUCUUUAAAGACUUUUAAGGCAGAAUCUCAAUUCAUCUCUUCUAUGAAACUUUCAUGAUUCAAAGGGAAGUCCCUGCAUGGACACUGCCAGCUUCAUUGCACUUCUGCCUCUAUGCUUUUUCCUGAACCUUCUCCACCUCUGGAACGUACUUCAGGCUGCACAGGGAGCAUGGCUGGGAGGCCUCAGGAAACUGACAAUCAUCAGUAGAAGAUGAAGAGGAAGGAGGCGCAUCUUACAUGGCCAGAGAAGGAGGAAGAAUAAGAAGGGAUUCUCCAGCUGGAGCCCUAUAAAUUGGACUGACAAAAGACAGAUUAGCAAGAGAAAUGCAAGCAGCAGUUUAUUAACAUGUGCAUCAUGAUUACACAUGGAAGUACCCAGAGGCAGAAUUAAAGAUUCAAGAUGUACCUACUUCUUCCGGGGACAACAUUCAUGAUUCUUAAAGAUUUCACAAGUGUACCUUCUAAGGGUAAGUGGCUGGAAGUAGUAAGAGGUCAAUGCCAAGUGAAAUCCUCUGGCGUUUUCUUCUGACAACCAGGAGUCUGCAAAGUGAGUUUGCUGGGAGCGUCCAGUUUUUUCAGCUUAACGUUAGGUGUACUUUCUGUCUUCGGCACAAAUUGUUUCCAAAUGCCUGUGGGUUGCAAUAUGAUUUUCCCAUCUUGAAAAUCUAUUAAAAAGGAAGAGAUUCUUCACUUCUCCCCACCCCACCUCCAGGCACUGCAGAUGGCGAUUAACACCCUACACAGCCCCUCCCCAUAGCAUCAUCGAUUUUCUGCCUGCAUUGCAUCUACUUCACAGUUCGAGACAUGCCAAAUCACACACGUUCUAAGUACUUGUUGCUAGCAACAAAUCUCUGUUCCUCAGUGGCCAAGCAGACUAUAUUUGGAAUGUCAGAGCACCUAGCCCUUCCCUGGCCCACUUCCUUUAGCUCAGAAGUCUCCAAGCCUGAAAGUAACCUCACCCGUGUUUCCUUGAGUUCUGCUUGUUGAAGCAACUCUUUGGAUUAACUCCGCAAAACACAAAGUGACAGCAAAACAGAGAAACAAUCAGAUUCUUUUCCAUGAACUCCUUUCUUUUCUAUAAAAGUGUUAUUAAUCCCUAUCUUAUGGGACAAUUGUGAAUGUAUUUAAUGAGCUCAUCAAAAUAUACAUACACAUACAUAUAUAUAUAGAGGGGGGGGGUUGGGGGGAGAGAGAGAGAGAGAAAGAGAGAGAGUCUCACUCUGUGGCCCAGGCUGGAGUGCAGUGGCACAAUCUCAGCUCGCUGCAACUUCCAUCGUCUCCCAGGUUCAAGCAAUUCUCCUGCCUCAGCCUCCCAAGUAGCUGGGAUUACAGGCGCUCGCCACCAAGCCCAGCUAAUUUUUUUUAUUUUUCUUUUUGGAGACAGAGUCUCGCUCUGUUGCCCAGGCUGGAGUGCAAUGGGGCAAUCUCGGCUCACUGCAACCUCCGCCUCCCGGGUUCAAGCAUCCUGCCUCAGUCUCCCUAGUAGCUGGGACUACAGGCAAAUGCUGCCAAGCCAGGCUAAAUUUUUUUGUAUUUUAAUAGAGAUGGGUUUCACCGUGUUGCCCAGGCUGGUCUCGAACUCCUGAGCUCAGACAAUCCACCCGCCUCGGCCUCCCAAAGUGCUAAGAUUACAGGCAUGAGCCACUGUGCCCGGCCUAAUUUUUGUAUUUUUACUAGAGACCGGGUUUUGCCAUGUUGGUCAGGCUGGUCUCACACUCCUGACAUCAGGUAAUCUGCCGACCUCAGCCUCCCAAAGUGCUGGGAUUACAGGCAUGAGCCACCUUGCCCAGCCUGAGCUCAUCAAAAUAUUAAAACUAGUGCAUUUUUAAUGGCAGUGUAGACCUAGCACAUGGCUGGCAGUGUAUAACUGCCAGGUGUUUCUCCUCUUUUCCUCACCCUUUCUCUCUCUUUUUUAUUGAGGUGAAAUUCACAUAACAUAAAUCAAAUCAUUUUAAAGUGAACAAUUAAAUGGCAUUUUAUACUUUCCCAGUGUUGUGCAAUCACAUCUCUAUCUAGUUCCUAAAUAUUUCCAUCCCCCCCAGAAGGAAACGCAUCCCCUUUAACCACUCUCCAUUUCCCUCUCCUCAGCCUUCACAAACAACAAUCGACUUCCUGUCUCCAUGCAUUUACCUGUUCUGGUUAUUUUAUAUAAAUGGAUUUAUAUAAUAUGUGUCUGGUUCCAUUCACUUAAUGUAAUAUUUUUGAGGUUUUUUCACCUUGUAUCACGUUUUGGUAAUUCAUUUCUUGUUAUAUCUGAACAAUAUUCUGUUGUAUGAAUAUACCACAGUUUGUUGUCUAUUUAUCUAUGGAUGAACAUUUGGGCUGUUUCACCUUUUGAUGUUUGUAAAUUGUAAGUAGUGCUGCCAUGAACACAUAUGUACAUGUAUUGGUUUGAGUGCCUGUUUUCAAUACUUUUGAGUAUAUAACUAGGAGUGAAAUUGGUAUUCACCCUUUUUUUUCUGUUACUUCUCUUAAUGAUCUCAUGUCUGCGUGAUCCUUAAUGAUGCCCCGUUUUAAAAUUCCUGACAUUGUUUGUCACUAGGUCAUUUGUCUCUAGUUUAACUGAUCAAUCUUGACAGCAAUUUUUCACUUUUAUUAGUAUUUUAAGGAAUCAGCCUGUGGUUUUGAGAAUCUUGUCUGCUUAUACAUUUGAAUUAGUUACAAUGAUUGCUUUCUCUUUGGAUUUGUUUCGCCACUCCUUUGGUAAUGUCCGGAGAGAGCUUCUUAACUGACACGAACGGGGCUCCAUUGGUAUGUCCUGGGAUCCCUCGUCAGGCCUGUGCACUCCCAGACCUCCAAGGGCCGGGACCUGCAUUUUUGUCCGAGGGCCGUCCCCAGGCUGCCUGAACUUACUUAGCCUAUGGGCAUAGUGGGCUGGAGGUGCCUGGGAACUAACAGCGCCAGAGGAAACCUUUAACUAAAGACCAAAGGCUGUCAGGGUGUAAAUACUCUUCUUGCCCUUCGGCUGAGAUAAUUCUGAAGCAUAUUUUACUUAGUUUUCUAGAGUUCUUCUUGGUAAUUAAUGCAAUCAAGCUCCAGUCUCCUGCUGUGAUGACUGCCUUCAUAACAUACCCUUUAUUAUUUAUCUGUCUUCCCUCCGUAUCUCACUUCCUACCUGUUCCUACUUGUCUAUUUCCCUGUGAGGGACUGAACUGUGAGCCCCUCAGAUUCAACGUACGAAGCCCCUAAAUUUAUUUGUUCGAGUCUGAAGCCAAAGUACCUAAGAAUGUGGCUUUAUUUGGAGAUACAGCUUUAAAGAGGUGAUGAAAUUAAAAUGAGAUCAUGAAGGUACACUCUAAUCCACUAUGACUGGUGUCCUUAUAAGAAGAGAUUAGGACACAACACACACAGAGGGAAUCCCAUGGGCAGACACAGGGAGAACACAGACAUCUGCAAGCCAAGGGCAGGAGCCUCAGAAGAAACCAAACCUGCUGACACCUUGAUCUCAGAUUUCAGCCUCCAGAAAUGUGAGAAAAUAAAUUUCUGUUGUUUAAGCCACCUAGCCUGUGAUACUUUGUUACGGCAGCCCAAGCUAAUUAAUUCACUCCCAAUUAAACUGUUCGCCCUUGAAUCCUUGGCUCAAGGUCUGCUUCUGGGGAACCCAAGCUAAGAUUCAAAGUUUAUUGAUUUUUUUCAGUGUUUCUUCUUUUCUAAAUAUGCAUUUGAAGCUAUAAAUUCCCUUCUAAGCAAGGCUAACACUCUGAUAUGUAGUAUUUGAUAGUGUAAUGAUAAGUAUUUGUAGUAUAAUGGUAAGCUUUGAUAUGUAGUAUUAUUAUUUAAUUUGAAGUAUUUUCCAUUGCAAUUUCUAUUUAACCUGUGGCUUAUUAUAACUCAGAAGGGUUUCACAUUGGCCUUAUAGAUGCUCCAGCCAUGUGUGUCACUUCUGCUCACAACUCAAAUGACCAGAACUAGCCACAGGGCUCCACCCAGCCACAGGGGAGCAGAAAGCACAACCUACCGUGUUGGUGUUGCAUAGAACAUCUUUCUACAUGUUUCCUCUUGCGUAGGUGCUAGAAUUGCUUUAGAAUAGGCUAUAAACCUGGGGGUGGAGUCACUAAGUCAUCUUAUUAAACCCAUCUUCCAUUUUAUUAGAAAUUGCCAAGCUGCUUUCCAAAGCGGUUGUGUGAGUACACAUAUUGCCCAUGCACAUUGUUCUGCACCUUCACAACCCUUCAUAUUAUCAGACUUUUAAAAUUUUUUGGCAAUUUUGGAGGCAUGAAACAGUAUCCUUUUGCAUUUUAAUUUUCAUUUCCCUGACUAAUAGGCAGGUCAGGUUUGUUUGUUUGUUGUUGUUGUUGUUUGAGACGGAGUCUUGCUCUGUCACCAGGCUGGAGUGCAUUGGCACGAUCACAGCUCACUGCAACCUCCACCUCCUGGUUUCAAGCAAUUCUCCUGCCUCAGCCUCCCAAGUAGCUGGGACUACCGGCACCUGCCACCACGCCCAGCUAAUUUUUGUAUUUUUAGUAGAGACGGGGUUUCACCAUGUUGGCCACGAUGGUCUCUUGACCUCAUGAUCCACCCA